rnacentral:misc_RNA from 1 species
AUUUACGCUGCUUUAGACGUUUCUGCACAUGGAAAGGUUCAACUAAUUAGUUUAAUCCUACAAACUUAAAAACUGCAAACUCAUGUUUGAGCAAGUGCACUUGCACCUGUUUGCAAGCAUGUCCUAAUGUGUGUGUCAGCAUCCAUCAGUUCAUAUUAAAUAAAAUGAGAUUUCCUUUCUAAGGUUGGCUACAGUUUUGAAGAUUAUAUGUCCAGUAUCACUUCCAAAACAACUUAAAUAACAAACUGAAAUGGAAGGUUCUUGAUCUAUAUAAGAAGUGAAGCUUUAGAAAAAUAAUUUUAAAAAAAAUUAUAUAAGAAUUAAGAAGUUUAUACUUUUCUAUAAAUGUUCAUAUUAUGCAGUGGUGCAGGUAUAACCACAAGGAGGGUGACUUGGGAGCAUUUGACUCCAAAGGAAACAAGAUAAACAAAAUAUUUCUGAUCAGAAACUGAAAACAUAUCUAAAUUUGUAAAUGUUCUGGAUUUGGUUCUCCUACAAACGUAUUCCCCUACAAAAUCCUGAAAUAUUCAACCAAAGCCUCUUUGUCAAUAACAA